UAUUUCCCAUCCUUACGAAUCCCGCAGCCUGUCACUCCUCCUGUACUAACAUUACUCGGUACAUCUAAAGACCUCACAUUGCCUUGUGUUUCUCACUCUCGCUAACUUGAAUUGUUCAUCAAACGUGACAUGAGAAAAGCAUUUUGUAAUUUUAGGAUUUAAAUAGUACUGUUUUUUUUACUAUUCAAAUUAUAUUUGACUUUAAGAAUUCGUUCCAACUGCCCUGCUGAUGAGUUUACUUUUUAUUGUUACAAUACCAAAUCAGCAUGCAGGUAAUCACUACUGUGAUCACAAGAUGUAAGAAAUUAAUGAAAAUAUCUAGUUGCAAUUUUUUUGCCUGAUAUUGCAAUUGUGAUAUUGGAGGGAAUGAUAAUUUUUGUAUCAUUACUCUCAUUGUAAAAUAUUUAAAAGAUUUUAAGGAGGAAGAGGAUCUGUACCAAACAAAGAUUUUUCCUUUACACUGUAGGAUACGAUUUGUAGGCCAGGAUGUCUCUGCAGCAUCACAAUUCGUUCAUAUUGCCAUUUUGAUAAAAAUGCGAUUAAUUGUGCAGCCCUACUACUGAUCAUGACUGACUGACAUUUUUGCUCAGGUUCACCCAGGUCUGCGGGCAGCGACAGGUCAACCAGUGGUUCACCCAGGUCUGCGGGCCGCGACAGGUCAACCAGUGGUUCACCCAGGUCUGCGGGCCGCGACAGGUCAACCAGUGGUGAGUUUAACAUUUCAUUGCUAAAUAUUGCAGGCAAGUCA